CUAUCUUUGUCCACGUUUUGUUCCGCGUUCUCUAUCCGGAGAAGCGGAUGAAAAGGGAAUCGGGUGAAAGUCCCGAACAGUCCCGCUGCUGUGAGUUCCAUGCUCGGUGUAUCAUACUUGUGCCACUGUUCUUCGGGAAGAACGGGAAGGCGAUGUACCGGGAACGAGUCAGAAGACCUGCAAAACAAAGUCGAAAAAUU
rnacentral:ncRNA from 22 species